UACGUAGGGGGCUAGCGUUGUCCGGAAUCAUUGGGCGUAAAGAGCGUGUAGGCGGUCCGGUAAGUCCGCUGUGAAAGUCGGGGGCUCAACCCUCGAAUGCCGGUGGAUACUGUCGGGCUAGAGUGCGGAAGAGGAGAGUGGAAUUCCUGGUGUAGCGGUGAAAUGCGUAGAUAUCGUAAGGAAGGCCGGUGGCGAAAGCGAAGCCUCUGGACAGUUACUGACGCUGAUGGCACGAAGGCCAGGGGAGCAAACGGG
rnacentral:rRNA from 1 species